rnacentral:rRNA from 1 species
GACGAACGCUGGCGGCGUGCUUAACACAUGCAAGUCGAACGGAAAGGCCCUGCUUUUGUGGGGUGCUCGAGUGGCGAACGGGUGAGUAACACGUGAGUAACCUGCCCUUGACUUUGGGAUAACUUCAGGAAACUGGGGCUAAUACCGGAUAGGAGCUCCUGCUGCAUGGUGGGGGUUGGAAAGUUUCGGCGGUUGGGGAUGGACUCGCGGCUUAUCAGCUUGUUGGUGGGGUAGUGGCUUACCAAGGCUUUGACGGGUAGCCGGCCUGAGAGGGUGACCGGGCAAAAUGGGGGGGGGUUGCGGCCCGGCCCCCGGGGGGGGGAAGGAGGGGGGAAUUUGGGCAAAAGGGGGGGAGCCUGUAUCACGCAGCCCCGCUGGGGGAAGGGGGCCUUGGGGUUGUAAACCCCUUUCCCCUGGGGAGGAAGGGGGGGGGCGGUAAUGGGAAAAAAAGCCCCGGCCAACCCACGGC